rnacentral:rRNA from 1 species
CAUGCAGUCGAGCGAAUGGAUUAAGAGCUUGCUCUUAUGAAGUUAGCGGCGGACGGGUGAGUAACACGUGGGUAACCUGCCCAUAAGACUGGGAUAACUCCGGGAAACCGGGGCUAAUACCGGAUAAUAUUUUGAACUGCAUGGUUCGAAAUUGAAAGGCGGCUUCGGCUGUCACUUAUGGAUGGACCCGCGUCGCAUUAGCUAGUUGGUGAGGUAACGGCUCACCAAGGCAACGAUGCGUAGCCGACCUGAGAGGGUGAUCGGCCACACUGGGACUGAGACACGGCCCAGACUCCUACGGGAGGCAGCAGUAGGGAAUCUUCCGCAAUGGACGAAAGUCUGACGGAGCAACGCCGCGUGAGUGAUGAAGGCUUUCGGGUCGUAAAACUCUGUUGUUAGGGAAGAACAAGUGCUAGUUGAAUAAGCUGGCACCUUGACGGUACCUAACCAGAAAGCCACGGCUAACUACGUGCCAGCAGCCGCGGUAAUACGUAGGUGGCAAGCGUUAUCCGGAAUUAUUGGGCGUAAAGCGCGCGCAGGUGGUUUCUUAAGUCUGAUGUGAAAGCCCACGGCUCAACCGUGGAGGGUCAUUGGAAACUGGGAGACUUGAGUGCAGAAGAGGAAAGUGGAAUUCCAUGUGUAGCGGUGAAAUGCGUAGAGAUAUGGAGGAACACCAGUGGCGAAGGCGACUCUCUGGUCUGUAACUGACACUGAGGCGCGAAAGCGUGGGGAGCAAACAGGAUUAGAUACCCCUGGUAGUCCACGCCGUAAACGAUGAGUGCUAAGUGUUAG